GCGGGUUACUGCAUGUCUAGUGGUGGUACUUUCGUCGUAGCAUGUUCGCCUUGAGUAAGGGAGGUCGGGUCAAAACCAAAGACUUUAAAAUUCAUAUUUACAUGCUGCUUCCCGGCUAAUUAUAUAAGCACGCGGGAUUAAGGAUUAAGAGCAAAAGCUGGUCGGCUCGGAUUCAGAAAAAUGUGUCUGAGUAGGGUGAUAUAAAUGUCUUCCUUCGGAAUGCUAC
rnacentral:lncRNA from 1 species